rnacentral:rRNA from 1 species
GAUGAACGCUGGCGGCGUGCUUAACACAUGCAAGUCGAACGGUGAAGGCGGAGCUUGCUCUGCUGGAUCAGUGGCGAACGGGUGAGUAACACGUGAGCAAUCUGCCCCUGACUCUGGGAUAAGCGCUGGAAACGGCGUCUAAUACUGGAUACGAGCUGCGAAGGCAUCUUCAGCAGCUGGAAAGAACUUCGGUCAGGGAUGAGCUCGCGGCCUAUCAGCUUGUUGGUGAGGUAACGGCUCACCAAGGCGUCGACGGGUAGCCGGCCUGAGAGGGUGACCGGCCACACUGGGACUGAGACACGGCCCAGACUCCUACGGGAGGCAGCAGUGGGGAAUAUUGCACAAUGGGCGAUAGCCUGAUGCAGCAACGCCGCGUGAGGGACGACGGCCUUCGGGUUGUAAACCUCUUUUAGCAGGGAAGAAGCGAAAGUGACGGUACCUGCAGAAAAAGCGCCGGCUAACUACGUG